UACGAAGGGGGCUAGCGUUGUUCGGAAUUACUGGGCGUAAAGCGCGUGUAGGCGGGUCUUUUAAGUCAGGGGUGAAAUGCCAAGGCUCAACCUUGGAACUGCCUUUGAUACUGGAGACCUUGAGUCCGGGAGAGGUGAGUGGAAUUGCGAGUGUAGAGGUGAAAUUCGUAGAUAUUCGCAAGAACACCAGUGGCGAAGGCGGCUCACUGGCCCGGAACUGACGCUGAGACGCGAAAGCGUGGGGAGCGAACGAG
rnacentral:rRNA from 1 species